rnacentral:other from 1 species
UAAAACCUGGGAUGUACGUGAAGCCCUGUAAAUUCAACCUACAGAUUUUAUUCGGGAGUCUGGGUUCCUUUAUCGAUGAAAUGCCUCCUUGGAGUGGACUUCAGAAGUAAAGGGUAAGACACCCACCUAGUUGAGGCUAGGGUAUGAAUUUAGAGGUGAACGGCAUUCUGGGAGAAAU